AACUUGGCAGGUUUGGGGGAACCUACUUUCCACAGCAGCAAUGCCAUCGGCAGGCAACAUGCAGCGGCACACUAUCUACCCGUAGCCGUGUAAGCUCACAUUGUUGUCCAUGGCAGGUGCCCCAUGCUGUUUGCCCCAAUAAGAUGGAAUUACCCAGACAGCCAUGGAGCCCUCCCAAUGGGGGAAGAGGAAAGUCCUAAUGCUGUUUACAUCAAUGUGACGCUGCCGCCGCUGCCGCAGCCUCACCAUGCCACAGAUUAACUUAAUCUCAUGUCACAACUGCAGUGAAAAUGUCACUUCCUGAAAGCUUAUUCUGACAGAUGAUUUUUUUUUUAAAUAAAAAAAGAAGGAAGGGAGGAAAAAA